rnacentral:lncRNA from 1 species
UUGUAACACCCAAGUUUUUAAAUUAAUUUAUAUUACUAAUUUAAAUAUGUUUAAGUAAUUUAUUGGUGUGUUGUGUGUAUUUUUAUGGGGUUGUAUGAGGUUGGGUAGAAUUUAUAUGAAUUAUCACUAUUUUUCAUUAAUUAAAAAUAACAGAAAAGUGAGUAAAAUAUGAAAUGGUGAGGCAUGGGGAUAAAAAUAGAAUAAUAAAGAAAUUAGUGUGGUAAGGGGUAAGAGCCCAAAAGAUUAUGGGAGAAAAUAGAAGUACUAAAAGAUAAUAUUAGAUUUUUAUUUAAAAGAAAAUUGGAGAGAAAAAUAGGUUUUUGUGUUAUACGUGAAAAACUGUGGGAAUUAGGAGUG